rnacentral:piRNA from 7 species
UAAUUAGUGACGCGCAUGAAUGGAUU